GUAUGGGACAGCUUGGGUCCAGGGACAGUGAAUUUCCCCACAAUGAAAUGAACCACAAUUAAACCUUCUGCAAGAAGAUCUGAAUCCCAGCCUCAGGGAGGAUCCAUCUUCCAAGUUUGUUUUGGCCUUGAGAAUUUUCCCUCAGCAUUCUCUUUACUUCUGUAUAGAUAAUCCUCGUUGUUAAAGUGCUUGCUGGAAAAUGAAGAGAGAGAUAGAGAGGGACAGUGAAAAAGACAACCAGACUAAAGGAAUGUUAAAAAGGGUCAUUAGCGAAGCCAGAUGGGAGACUGGAUACAACCUAAAUUAGAUGCUUUCAGAGAAGAUCUGUGCUUGCUCCUGUUUGGAAUCAGAGGAUGCUACUGACCACCCACUAUGAAGUCCCCCUCUACAUAGCAGUCUCAACCCUGAAGUGUGUCCAGAACUUCAUCACCGAUCCCAGUGCUGGCAACGUAAUUUGCUUCCAGGAUUUGCAUUUUCUUACUGCUCACUCUUUCAGCCACUCUUUCAUUUUUCCCUUUGUUUUCUUGUUUUCUUGUUGUUGUUGUUGUUGUUGAAAGAGUUACAUCACUUUUGUUUUAGUUAUUGGAUUAAAGGUGUAUUUAUUUUAAUUUUUACCAACUCUCAGUUUUACAUUACCAGGAACACUUUUCAGAGUACAUAAUCAUCCAUGUUGCAGAAUUAGAAUCAUCUUACUUGUGUAUUAAAAAAUUACUUGGUC
ensembl:lncRNA